rnacentral:lncRNA from 1 species
UCCUUCAAAGUUUCUGGAGGCCUACAUAGAAGAAUUUCGGCGUUAAGGUUUUCUGAUGGCGCAUUAGCUUGGGAUGUGGAUGUGGAUGCCGUUGAAUAUAAUUCAUUUGUAUAGUCUCUCAAGUAUACAUGAGCAUGUAAUCAUCAUGGACAUAAGCAAAAUGUAUACUACUAAUGUUAACUGCAAUUGAAUUAUGGGAUUCAAGGCCCUCUAUCUUAAUUUAUGCCUGAAAUUAUUGCUGAAUGGGGGUUAAAAAUCUCAAUGCCGGCCUUUCAAUUUUUGUUUCUCAAC